rnacentral:lncRNA from 1 species
GUGACUGGAGCCCUCAGCCCUUGGAGGUCGGCAGGAUCCCUCUGCCUCCAGCUGCUGCCGCUGCUUCUGGGCAUGCUCCCGAGCCAGGCGCUCUGACCAGGCUGAGAAGGACUCGGGCUCCUGCGUGUCCCGGGAGGCAUCAUCUGUUCAGGAGGAACCUGCCGUUUGUUUCACUCUUUGAUGACUGUAAUGAGUGUUCCACUGUGAGCUGAGACACAGACCUCUCUUCACCUUGUCUGUCAGACUGUGUCUCCAAAGCCUUUAGCCUUAAACUUGCACGAGUGUGGACAUGGACACAUAUCUGCCGAGGGUGGGUGUUCUAAGUCAGAACAUGUGCAAGCCUGCUGGGCUUUACUGUGCAUGCAUGCAUGACAACCCUUCAUGGAGAGAUGGCUCAGUGGUUAAGAGCACUGACUGCUCUUCCAGAGAUCUUGAGUUCAAAUCCCAGCAACCACCUGGUGGCUCACAACCAUCUGUAAUGAGAUCUGACGCCCUCUUCUGGGGUGUCUGAAAACAGCUAUAGUGUACUUGAAUAUAACAAUAAAUAAAUCUUUGGGCCAGAGUGAA